rnacentral:misc_RNA from 1 species
CAAAUAAGUCUAAUCAACGAUUUCUAAACGAAGAAAAAUGGCGAACGGAACAAGCCUUGUCGACAGCGAGUAUAAAGAAAAUCUGAGUGAAGGGGAGACAACCAGCAGCGAAGAUGGUACAGGAGAGAUAACUGUACAAAGUGAGGCUCAUGUCAAAACAUCAGCAUCCUCAUCAAAGAAAGAUAAGAAAAAACACAAACACAAACAUAAGCACAAACAUAAACAUGGAAGUGACCGACAUAAACAUAAACACAAACGCAAGAAACACAAAACUGAUAAAGUGUCUGCAGAAGAAAACCCAAAUCCUAAAAAGAAAAUGCGACUUGAAGACAGUGAUUUAGAAAAACUUGAAGCUGCUAGGGAAGCUCUCAAAGCAGUACUUAAUGCUGAGGGUGAUGAAUCCAUGGUUAAUUCCAUGAACCUCAUUGCACAGGGUUAUGCGGAUAGUGAGGAGGAAGAGGAAGAGGGGGAAGUUGAUCAUGAGGAAACAAAAGCAGAGAAAGUGAAAAGACGAGAAUGGCAAAUGUUGGAAAUGGCAUUAGCAGAUAAAAGUAAAGAGACAGAGGAAGUUGACGAAACUUCAGAUAUUGAAAUUACUGGUGUAGAAAAUAUAAAAAAGUCAAAUUCUAGUAGCAGGAAGAGUAAAAGAAGUGAUGUUGGUCAUAUACGAAACGAAAGCAAAGACAGGAGAAAUAAAGAGAAAAAAGACUCUAGUAGAAAGAAAAUAUCAAGGAGUAAAUCUCCAAAAGGGAGACGUGAAAAUAAUAACACUGAUAGAGAUCGAGAUCACAGAAUUGAACGUGAUGAUAGGUCAUUCAUGAUCAGGAAGGAACGCAGCGGACCCGCAAGUAGGUCACCUGUCCGUCGAAGAUCUCCAAGGGAUAGGGACAUUUCGCCCCGCAGGGAAGGUGUUAGAAUGGAUGAAAGGAGAAUAAGAGAAGAUGUACAAAUUGAUCGAGAUACGGAGCGGAAAAGAAAACGAUCACCAGAAAGACGGUUUUCUCCACCAAGACGAAUAUCUCCUGGUCGCCGAACUCCACCAGGCCGCCGACCUUCACCUGCCCGACGAUCUCCUCUACGUCGUCUUUCUCCUUCACAACGUUCUUCACCGUUUCGCAGAAGAUCCCCAGAUCGAAGGUCACCAGGGCGUAUGGGAGAAAGAUAUAGGAGGUCUCCAAUGAGAAAUAGGCGUCCAUUUGACCGUGAUGACAGGAUCCGAGAUCGUUAUGGGCGUCGAAGCAGGUCACGUGACCGACACAAUAGGUCAAAGGACAAGCCUGAGGACAAGUUUAAAGGAAGUCUAUCGGAGGGUAUGACAAAGGUCAAGGAGGAAUCAGACGAAGAAUUAGACCUUGACUUCACCAGUGAUGAGGAUGAUGAAGAUAUACUGAUUGAGAAGAGACGGAAAGAGCGAGAGGCCUUGUUACAGAAACUGAAUCCUGUAAUGAUAGAGGAGAAUGAGGACAGUCGUCUGACAACAGAUGGUGGGGAGACAAUGGCGACCCACAGUGGCAGUGAUUCCUCCGACUCCUCCGAGUCGGACAGUGACGACCUCGUGGGUGAGGAAGACAUCUACGACUUUGAGGAGUCCAUGGACAAAAAACGGAAAGCAUUACAAGACCUCUCUGCCAACGACACCAAGGAAGAAAAAGCAGUGGAAUCCACAGAGAAAUCUGCAGCCAAGAAGUCGGAUAUGUUUUCAGAAACCACAGACAUGUUCAAUGAAAAUUACGUCUUUAAUCAAAGCCCUAGCAGUGCUUACCAGUUUUUGUCAUCUGCUCACGAAAACGCCAACCUCACAGACAACUGGGAUGAUGCUGAGGGCUACUACAGGGUGCGUAUUGGUGAAAGCCUGGACAAGCGCUACACUGUGUUUGGGUUUACGGGACAAGGUGUGUUCAGUAACGUUGUGCGAGCCCGUGACACCGCAAGGACUGGGCAAGACGUUGCCAUCAAAAUUAUCAGAAACAAUGAAAUGAUGCACAAGACUGGUCUGAAGGAACUGGAAUUUUUGAGAAAACUCAAUGAUGCUGACCCAGACGACAAAUUUCACUGCUUGAGGUUGUACAGACACUUUUUCCACAAAAACCAUCUCUGCCUUGUGUUUGAAUCUUUAAGUAUGAACCUGAGAGAGGUGCUGAAGAAGUAUGGCAAAGACAUUGGUCUGCACAUCAAAGCUGUCCGCUCAUACGCCCAGCAACUUUUCCUUGCUCUCAAACUUCUCAAGCGAGCUAGCAUCCUCCAUGCUGACAUCAAGCCAGACAAUAUCCUGGUGAAUGAGUCUAAGUUACUUUUAAAGUUGUGUGACUUUGGCUCUGCUUCCCAUGUUUCUGAGAAUGACAUCACACCGUAUCUGGUGAGUCGUUUCUACCGAUCCCCAGAAAUCAUCAUCGGGAUGGGAUAUCAUCACAGUGCUGACCUGUGGUCUGUAGGGGCCACCAUCUUUGAACUGUACACGGGUAAAAUCCUCUUCCCUGGCUCUUCCAACAAUGAGAUGUUAAAAUUCAUGAUGGACGUUAAAGGCAAGAUGCCAAACAAGAUGAUCAGGAAGGGUAUGUUUAGGGACCAACACUUUGAUCCCAGCUACAACUUCCUGUACCAUGAGGUGGACAAAGUGACACACAGGGAGAAAGUGACAGUAUUGAGCAUGAUCAACCCAUGCAAGGACCUUCUGGCUGAGCUGAUUGGUUACCAGCGUCUCCCAGAUGACCAACUCAGGAAGGUCACACAGCUAAAGGACCUACUGGAGAAGGUGCUGAUGAUGGACGCGAGUAAGAGGAUCACCAUAAACCAGGCUCUCACUCACCCAUUCAUUCAGGAGAAGAUCUAGACUGUGGUCACCUUGACAGUGAUGAGUUCAAAGGCUGUAACCGUGACACUGAAUACUUCAGAGAGUGGACUACUGACAAAUUGUGGGUUCAGAAAAUAAUAAAAUGUUUGAGUGAUAGAAAUUCAAACAUUUUGUGAACAAAAAUGUGGAUUUUCCGACACAGAUAGGUAAACCACAUGGUUUAUUUGACUCUUUGGAAAGUGGGGAAAUGUUAGUGGCGGUAAGAUAUAAAUCCUACACACACAAAAAGAACAUUUUACAUGUGAACUUGUGCUUUUCUUACAGGGAUCAAUGUUGCUGUUUCUGUUCAAUACAUACUGAGUAUACAUAUGAAAUCUCACACAGGUGUGAUAUUCUUGUUAAAGGACGAAGAAAGGGGACUUUGUUUACGUUACUAUUGAUACUAUACACUAUUUUAAUGAUUAUGAUAAUCACGUGUUUACAUUUCAGUGAAUGAAACAGCAGAUAUGUUCCAUGAAAUCAAAGAUGAUGUGAUGGACCAAUCACAGAGCUUGUAUUAUGUUUUGAUGGAAGACUGUGAUUGUGAAUGGACCAAUCACUCACCUUGUUAGUUAUAAUGAUGGAAAAGGUUUUUCAAAGGUAACCAUGAGUAUAAAACCUAGUGUGAUUUUUAAUUAUUUCAGACUUUAUGUUAAACAUAUGCCAGGCUAAUUGUAGACUUGUGCAUCAGCUGUGUUUGUUUGUACUAAACUAGGUAAGUUACCCUUUUUUUUACACAAUGUUGAUACUCAGACUUGGAGAGAGAAAAAACAAUCAGUCUUUCCGAACAGGUAAAACGUGUUAUUUUAAACUUUUGAAUGUCAAGUAAGGCAAUAUUUAAACUCUGGUAUAAAUUGCAGCAUGUUUAAAACAUUUUGUUACUGGUACUUUUUUUUUCUGUAAUUCUCAUAAAAUGAAAGUUAUAAAUAUCUGCAUUCAAAAAUCAAAUAAAAGGAUAAAGUUGAAUUAAUGAUUGUAAUAUUUUUCUCAUUUAAGUAUGUGCUUUUCUUGUAGUUCUUGCAUUAUAUUCUUUAUUUUAAACUUUAUUUUUAAAAUACAAAAAAAAAUAUUGUCCUUUUUUAGAUAUGUAUAGUUAGAGCAUGAUUUGGUAUCAAAAACCCUUCUCCUAAAUUAUUCUGACUUUUUCAUUCCAGGUCAGGCAAGCUUAGGCCAGACCUACAUGUUACUGCCGUUGACAGCUAACAUUGUCAUAUAACUCAGAUAAGUCUUUACAAUUCUAUAUCUCAUCAUCCAAAAACAUAUCAUACUAAUGGAAAUGGUUCUAAACUCAUUGAUUUUUCGCUUAAUUUUUUUUUUUUUUUUAGAUUUGAGAACAUUCAUUUUGAAAGGUACCAAAAUGUCCUUUCGUAAGAAAAACAUCUACAUAGUAAAUAGAACUGCUCAUGGUCAUUUAGAAUAAAAAGUUUGUAAAAAAUAUCAAAUCUGAUGUAUCAUACACUGUUCCAAAAUGUUGAAUUGUGUAGACAACUAUAAAACAUUGUCCUGAUUUCAUGCUAUGUCUAAUAAAGUACAUCUGUUUUUUGUCAUGUUACUUCAAGAUAUAGAAUUUUCUGUUAGAUAUAUUGGUUAUAACAUGUAGCGACAUUUGAUGAAGAGAGGUGAAAAUCUCUAAAAUUGUAUAUUUCUUUCCGUUUGGACAGAUACAACUAUGGAUUAAAAUUUCCAAGCCAUAUCUUAAGUUUUCCUGUUUUAUUGAGUGGUAACUACAUUUUUUACUCGUGAGAUUUUGUUUAACAUUUGAAUUUUUUCAGUUGGCAUUGCCUUUCUGGCAAGUUGAAAGUCUUAUUUACUCCAGUAACGAAACAUGUGUACCUUUCAAAAAAAAAAUCAAUCUUUUUUCCUUUAUGAUCAGUUGUUGAAAUUUAUAAAUUUCAUAAAAUUCAAUGUAAAAAUAUUAUAUACACAUUUUAUGUGUUGAAAUAAUGAUGAAGUUCAGUUACUGGAGCAGAGAGCUUUCAUAGAAUCUUCACAAAGUUAUUACAGAUAUUGUAUACUCAAUCUAAAAGAAGAAUGCAUGUGCCAUAGCGUACUGUUGUUUAAAUACUAAUGAAAUUAAAUUUGAUUGGCUAAAAUUGAUAGCUAUAUGCACCCGGAAUAUAGUGCGAGAUGAUUUUCACAAACUUUUUCAUGGUUUAUCAGAUUGAGUCUAUAAGAGUUAUUGUUGGAUAAUUCAAUAAAGAUAAUUGUGGAAUUCACCAGACAAAUAUGAACAUGAAAAGACAUGUUUGUACUUGGAAGAAUCCUUCUCAAACAGUGUAAUUCUUCUCUUUUGCAUCCAUCUGGUUCGAGAGCUGUUCCCUCUUCAGAAGUGACUGGUCACGAAAUUAUCGCUACAAUGGCAGCCUCGUGUUACCAUGGAAACAGGAAGUCGGUCAACCAUGACAGAUCAUGUAAUGUUACCCGUUCCUGGACAUGACAGUCUUAUUUUAUAGACAUGCAUGACUGAAUUUGUUGUUAUAUUGAACCCGUUCACUUUUAUUUCAGAAACAUUUUGAUUUGUUUGCAAGGGUCAGAUUUUGUUCAAAAUAAUAUGGGCAGGGUCAGAUUUAGUAUAAUUUUGAUAUCAAUUAUUGGCCAAAGAAGACUAUACUGGGAUGCAUAGAGCGCUUUUGUUAAUGCCUUACCGAAAAACCGUUUGUUCGAAAAGGAACACUUUUGAGGUUAAAAUAUCAGUUAGAAUUAUACAGGAUUAACUACUGUUAACUGUAUAAUUUAAACAUCUUGUUAAGCUUUCCAGAAAAGGCAAACAAUAUUUCACUUUUGAUAUGAAAUUAAAAAACUGAACCUUGAAAAAAGUUAUUAAAAAUCAUCCAAAAGUGAUAGUAAGACUUUAUUAGACUUUAUUAUUUGCUAGAAAAGGAUGAGAUACGAGAUACCCGAUCCCAAGUUUUAGUGCAGUGUCACCUGGUUCAAUGCUAAGCUUUCACAAUUGAAUCUUCUCUGCAGAGAUAUUGAGUGCUGCACAUGUAAGCUUUGUAAUGGAUUUUUAACCACAGAAUGUCCAUUCAGGAUCCUGCUGCAUGCUUAACAUCCAAAUACGUCCUUGAACGCCUAAACGUUGGUGAAGGAAAAGCAGUUACAUUCUUAUUGGGAUGAAAAAGAUAAACCAGUAUUUAUUCAUUACAGUACAUCAAGGGUGACAUCCAAUGCCCUACUUCUUAUGUUUCCCAAAGAGACCACCGUUAGGUUCCCUACCCUCAGGCCUCAGAACUUCCUUCUUUCAGAUAAAGGGGGGCUCAUCCCUUACAUAAACCAUUAAAAAUACUGGAGAUAUAGGUUUUACUGAGCAUACUACAAUUUUCAUAUUUAAAACAAGAAAAACAAGAAGAAAAUCCUUCUGUUUAAAAGCUUAUGAAACUUUUUUCCGUUGAAAUGACAAAAUCGCUUUUUAAAAGAAAUGUUUUUGGUUUGAGCCCCCCUACAGUGUUGUGUUGACGUAUUACUGGUUGCCUGUUUCUGUUUUUUAGGUGACACAUCCUUGGUACGGAGCCUGGACUUGACUUCACAAGGUAAGGAUUUUCUUAUACAUUUCUGUAAGUGGCCAAAAAUACCUGCAAUCCUGGGAGUGGUGUAUCACAGGAGAGGAUCAUACUGGAGUAUUAUACAACUUCAUUACAGGAAAUUCCCAACCUGAGGAACCUACCUGGAUUAGUUUGGUACAGCAACAUUCAAUGGUCUAACUUCAGUUGAGAGUAUUAUACAGUCAGUCACAAGUGGAGUUGACAUUAUUCCGUGCAAGAAGACUAUGAUAUUGUGGCAUUUUAGAUCGUGAUGAUUACAAAUAUCAAUGACUCCAACUGUCAAUAGAAGAUACAUACCAAAAAGGGAGCUAGAAAGAUCAUUAUUAAUCUUAUGAUUUUUAUAGAUAUUUUUCAAAAUCGUUGAUUUUAUGCAUUACCAAAAUUUAUAUAAAAUCUGUUGAAAUGCUUAGCAGUGUUUGCAUCU